UACGUAGGAUGCGAGCGUUUAAUCGGAAUUACUGGGCGUAAAGCGUGCGCAGGCGGUUUUGUAAGCCAGAUGUGAAAUCCCCCGGGCUCAACCUGGGAAUGGCAUUUGGGACUGCAAGGCUUGAGUGCGGCAGAGGAGACUGGAAUUCCUGGUGUAGCGGUGAAAUGCGCAGAAUAUCAGGAGGAACACCGAUGGGCGAAGGCAGGUCUCUGGGCCAUAACUGACGCUGGAGAAGCGAAAGCAUGGGGAGC
rnacentral:rRNA from 1 species